AUUGAACGCUGGCGGCAUGCCUUACACAUGCAAGUCGAACGGCAGCAUGGGUGCUUGCACCUGAUGGCGAGUGGCGAACGGGUGAGUAAUGCAUCGGAACGUACCCGGAAGUGGGGGAUAACGUAGCGAAAGUUACGCUAAUACCGCAUAUUCUGUGAGCAGGAAAGCGGGGGAGUCGCAAGACCUCGCGCUUCCGGAGCGGCCGAUGUCGGAUUAGCUAGUUGGCGGGGUAAAGGCCCACCAAGGCAACGAUCCGUAGCGGGUCUGAGAGGAUGAUCCGCCACACUGGGACUGAGACACGGCCCAGACUCCUACGGGAGGCAGCAGUGGGGAAUAUUGGUCAAUGGGCGAAAGCCUGAACCAGCCACGCCGCGUGCAGGAAGAAGGUCCUCUGGAUUGUAAACUGCUUUUGCCAAGGGAUAAAGAGAGGCUAUACGCCUAAAUGAAGGUACUUGGUGAAUAAGCCACGGCUAACUACGUGCCAGCAGCCG
rnacentral:rRNA from 1 species